CAGGAGAGAAGCGUCUCAACCAUGUUGCAGGCACACGGGUGAGGGUGCUGCCUGCCUCCCUGACUCUUACCUCCCCAAGAGAGGAAAACAAAAGAAAAAAAGAUAAGACCAGGAAAUGGAAAUAAGACAAAGAAGAAUGAAAUUUUAAAAUCCGAACAAACCCAAACAUGCUGUUUCAAAACGUAAGUCCAUGAAGAGUCUCGUGGUGAGAAAGACAGAAUUCCUAGCCAGGAAAAUGCCCCGUGCUUGCCCCUUGGAGGCAGGUGCUCACCACGGCAGGGUCUAUCUAGGUGUUUAUUAAGGUGUCUCACCACGUAUCGCCCGGAUUCACCAGAGAUGCAGAGGCGGAGGAUACGUUCCUGUUUACAUUGAUACAUAGUUACAUAGGUGAAGAGCUUUACAGUGAGGAAGCGGCUCACGCGGCCAUGAGGGACCCAGGCAGGAGCUGCUGUUGCUGCCCCAGGUGCGAUUCCUUCCUCCUCAGGGAGGCUCAGCUCCCCGCUGCAGCCAGGUGGGCCCAGGCAGGCCUCCUUGGCCUACAGCGCAGACGGCCAAGUGCUGGUCACGGCCAUUGCAUCUACACCACCCCUUUCUCAGCAGCAACUCCACGAGUGCUCGAUGGGAAACUGCAGACAGCAGCCUUGCCAAGCGGAUGCCCAGGGCCGACCACCGCAGCCCCUCCAGCCACGUUCUCCAUCAGGGCAGCCUCCUGCUGGCUUCGGCACUGCAGGUAGCACACCAGCGAGGGGUGGGCCUGUGUGCCACGAAGCGUCAUCCAUGGACGUGCCACGAAGGGUUAUUCUUCUUUUGACUUUUUCUGAUGGUUUAAAACUGUAAGAACACACAGCUCACAGUCCACACGGAAGCAGGCAUGUGGCUCCUGCCUCACUGUGGGAGGAAAGAUGUUCUCAAAAGAAAUGGCUGGGUUUGCGGAGGGGUUUGUGGAGGGCCGGGCAGUCUGAACACAGCCCAGCUGGCCUUGGUGGAGGUGGGCCUGGCACAGGGGGGUGGGAGCAGUUCUUCCUGACGCAAAUCCUAACGCCUUCAACACUGACCUUCCAAAGAAACAGCUGCUGGACGCCGCCCGACAGCAACGAGAGCCCCACUCCUGAGGCGCGCGACUCUCGAGGGCUUUGUUGUUUAUUUGGCACCCGAGGCCCAGGCUCACAGGGUCUCGGGUGCAUGGGACCCCCCAGCCCUUCCCACUGCUCUGCGAUUCUUCCUCCCUUCUGGAAAGGCUGUUUGUGGGAGAACGGGAAACAGUCCCAGAGAUGACGCUGCCUCAUGCAGGUUAACAGAGUUGGAGGUCAGGCCGACGCCUGAGGCUCAGGACGCUGAUGGGUGCCUUCCCUCGCCAGGGGUGAGCCCCCAGCCCCGUCUUCCCUCGCCAGGGUGAGCCCCUCCCCAGCCCCGAGUUUGGAGGGGCCGUGGCUGCCGGGGACUCGCGUGAGGAGCUUGCUGUAAAUACGGAGCUCUGGAGCAACAGUGGCCUCACGCCACUGGCAUCUCGGGCAGGACCUGCCUCUUUUUGGAACACUUUCGAGAUCUUUGCGUUUGUUCGUUUCCAGCCAUUUGGUGGAGACUCUGAGAGCCUGAACUUAGAAGCCCGCCGAGAGGGGAAAUGGCGGCCUCCGGGGAGCGGGCAGCCUGGCCGCAGAGCGCGCGGGACCCAGGGCCACCGUCCUCCCGAGACAGCGGCAGCAGCCGCCACUCACCGUGCGGAAUUAAAAACGGCUCUCUGGUUGCCACGGCAACCAGCCGUCUCCCCCCAGCGUCAGUUUGAAUUUGUGCAGACCAUUCCUAGCCAAGAUUCAAGCCAACAGAUUCGUGCUUACCCUGAGGUGAAGCCUCGUUUGAGAACCAAAUAAUAAAAUUAACAAAC
rnacentral:lncRNA from 1 species